rnacentral:lncRNA from 1 species
AUUUGUGUGGCUGUGCACAGCCAUACAUGGGUGAGGAAUUUCAUGAUUUGUUGCAGGCGAGUUGGCAGUACACAUCCUUUUGGUCUAGUGAAUAAGGGGAUUUGCGUCUCACAACCCUUCUAUCUGGUAAUGUUCCUUGUGUUGCUCCUGAUUUCAUUUUGCUCGUCUUAAAAAUUCACAGAACCUUCCACGGGUUUAAUUCUUCUUAGCUGCAUUCAGGAGUAGCUUAAUUGCCAAACAGAAUUCUU